UGUCGCGGUCAAACAUUGUGGGUAUAUAAGCUGAGGAGUGACUCCAGUUCCUCACAGACUCAUCGUGACUGUACUCUUGUGACUGCACGCUCAACAACAAACCAACAAACAUGAAAUUCUUCAGGGUACUCGGUAUGAUCGCCGCUCUGCUGCUCGCCGCACAAGUCGCGAGCGCUCAGGAGAAUGCAGGUCCCCGCGGCCCGACAAAUGAAGUACCCUCCAGCAGCCUGGAAAAUAAAGAUCAAGUAGAUGGACAUAGUCCAGGAAUAGGCCACCACGACUGAUAAUGUAGAUUUUUAUGUGAUAUAAAUAAAUUAAAUAUUUGAUAUUA